rnacentral:rRNA from 1 species
CCUACGGGUGGCUGCAGUGGGGAAUAUUGGACAAUGGGCGAAAGCCUGAUCCAGCCAUGCCGCGUGUGUGAAGAAGGCCUUCGGGUUGUAAAGCACUUUCAGUGGGGAAGAAAGCCUUGGGGCUAAUACCCUCGAGGAAGGACAUCACCCACAGAAGAAGCACCGGCUAACUCCGUGCCAGCAGCCGCGGUAAUACGGAGGGUGCGAGCGUUAAUCGGAAUUACUGGGCGUAAAGCGCGCGUAGGCGGUCUGAUAAGCCGGUUGUGAAAGCCCCGGGCUCAACCUGGGAACGGCAUCCGGAACUGUCAGGCUAGGGUGCAGGAGAGGAAGGUAGAAUUCCCGGUGUAGCGGUGAAAUGCGUAGAGAUCGGGAGGAAUACCAGUGGCGAAGGCGGCCUUCUGGACUGACACUGACGCUGAGGUGCGAAAGCGUGGGUAGCAAACAGGAUUAGAUACCCUUGUAGUC